AACGAACGCUGGCGGCAGGCUUAACACAUGCAAGUCGAACGCCCCGCAAGGGGAGUGGCAGACGGGUGAGUAACGCGUGGGAACAUACCCUUUCCUGCGGAAUAGCUCCGGGAAACUGGAAUUAAUACCGCAUACGCCCUACGGGGGAAAGAUUUAUCGGGGAAGGAUUGGCCCGCGUUGGAUUAGCUAGUUGGUGGGGUAAAGGCCUACCAAGGCGACGAUCCAUAGCUGGUCUGAGAGGAUGAUCAGCCACAUUGGGACUGAGACACGGCCCAAACUCCUACGGGAGGCAGCAGUGGGGAAUAUUGGACAAUGGGCGCAAGCCUGAUCCAGCCAUGCCGCGUGAGUGAUGAAGGCCUUAGGGUUGUAAAGCUCUUUCACCGGAGAAGAUAAUGACGGUAUCCGGAGAAGAAGCCCCGGCUAACUUCGUGCCAGCAGCCGCGGUAAUACGAAGGGGGCUAGCGUUGUUCGGAAUUACUGGGCGUAAAGCGCACGUAGGCGGAUAUUUAAGUCAGGGGUGAAAUCCCAGAGCUCAACUCUGGAACUGCCUUUGAUACUGGGUAUCUUGAGUAUGGAAGAGGUAAGUGGAAUUCCGAGUGUAGAGGUGAAAUUCGUAGAUAUUCGGAGGAACACCAGUGGCGAAGGCGGCUUACUGGUCCAUUACUGACGCUGAGGUGCGAAAGCGUGGGGAGCAAACCAGGAUUAGAU
rnacentral:rRNA from 1 species